UACGUAGGGUGCAAGCGUUGUCCGGAAUUAUUGGGCGUAAAGAGCUCGUAGGCGGUCUGUCGCGUCGGCUGUGAAAACCUGGGGCUUAACUCCGGGCCUGCAGCCGAUACGGGCAGACUAGAGUUCGGCAGGGGAGACGUGGAAUUCCUGGUGUAGCGGUGAAAUGCGCAGAUAUCAGGAGGAACACCGGUGGCGAAGGCGGGUCUCUGGGCCGAUACUGACGCUGAGGAGCGAAAGCGUGGGGAGCAAACAGG
rnacentral:rRNA from 1 species